UACGUAGGGGGCAAGCGUUGUCCGGAUUUAUUGGGCGUAAAGAGCGUGUAGGCGGCCUUACAGGUCAGCUGUGAAAACUCGAGGCUCAACCUCGAGACGUCGGUUGAAACCGUACGGCUAGAGUCCGGAAGAGGAGAGUGGAAUUCCCGGUGUAGCGGUGAAAUGCGCAGAUAUCGGGAAGAACACCCGUGGCGAAGGCGGCUCUCUGGGACGGUACUGGAC
rnacentral:rRNA from 1 species